UGCAAGUCGAACGCGUUGGCCCAAUUGAUUGAUGGUGCUUGCACCUGAUUGAUUUUGGUCGCCAACGAGUGGCGGACGGGUGAGUAACACGUAGGUAACCUGCCCAGAAGCGGGGGACAACAUUUGGAAACAGAUGCUAAUACCGCAUAACAGCGUUGUUCGCAUGAACAACGCUUAAAAGAUGGCUUCUCGCUAUCACUUCUGGAUGGACCUGCGGUGCAUUAGCUUGUUGGUGGGGUAAUGGCCUACCAAGGCGAUGAUGCAUAGCCGAGUUGAGAGACUGAUCGGCCACAAUGGGACUGAGACACGGCCCAUACUCCUACGGGAGGCAGCAGUAGGGAAUCUUCCACAAUGGGCGCAAGCCUGAUGGAGCAACACCGCGUGAGUGAAGAAGGGUUUCGGCUCGUAAAGCUCUGUUGUUAAAGAAGAACACGUAUGAGAGUAACUGUUCAUACGUUGACGGUAUUUAACCAGAAAGUCACGGCUAACUACGUGCCAGCAGCCGCGGUAAUACGUAGGUGGCAAGCGUUAUCCGGAUUUAUUGGGCGUAAAGAGAGUGCAGGCGGUUUUCUAAGUCUGAUGUGAAAGCCUUCGGCUUAACCGGAGAAGUGCAUCGGAAACUGGAUAACUUGAGUGCAGAAGAGGGUAGUGGAACUCCAUGUGUAGCGGUGGAAUGCGUAGAUAUAUGGAAGAACACCAGUGGCGAAGGCGGCUACCUGGUCUGCAACUGACGCUGAGACUCGAAAGCAUGGGUAGCGAACAGGAUUAGAUACCCUGGUAGUCCAUGCCGUAAACGAUGAGUGCUAGGUGUUGGAGGGUUUCCGCCCUUCAGUGCCGGAGCUAACGCAUUAAGCACUCCGCCUGGGGAGUACGACCGCAAGGUUGAAACUCAAAGGAAUUGACGGGGGCCCGCACAAGCGGUGGAGCAUGUGGUUUAAUUCGAAGCUACGCGAAGAACCUUACCAGGUCUUGACAUCUUGCGCCAACCCUAGAGAUAGGGCGUUUCCUUCGGGAACGCAAUGACAGGUGGUGCAUGGUCGUCGUCAGCUCGUGUCGUGAGAUGUUGGGUUAAGUCCCGCAACGAGCGCAACCCUUGUUACUAGUUGCCAGCAUUAAGUUGGGCACUCUAGUGAGACUGCCGGUGACAAACCGGAGGAAGGUGGGGACGACGUCAGAUCAUCAUGCCCCUUAUGACCUGGGCUACACACGUGCUACAAUGGACGGUACAACGAGUCGCGAACUCGCGAGGGCAAGCAAAUCUCUUAAAACCGUUCUCAGUUCGGACUGCAGGCUGCAACUCGCCUGCACGAAGUCGGAAUCGCUAGUAAUCGCGGAUCAGCAUGCCGCGGUGAAUACGUUCCCGGGCCUUGUACACACCGCCCGUCACACCAUGAGAGUUUGUAACACCCAAAGUCGGUGGGGUAACCUUUUAGGAGCCAGCCGCC
rnacentral:rRNA from 1 species